rnacentral:rRNA from 1 species
UCUACGGGUGGCAGCAGUGGGGAAUAUUGGACAAUGGGCGAAAGCCUGAUCCAGCCAUGCCGCGUGUGUGAAGAAGGCCUUCGGGUUGUAAAGCACUUUCAGUGGGGAAGAAAGCCUUGGGGCUAAUACCCUCGAGGAAGGACAUCACCCACAGAAGAAGCACCGGCUAACUCCGUGCCAGCAGCCGCGGUAAUACGGAGGGUGCGAGCGUUAAUCGGAAUUACGGGGCGUAAAGCGCGCGUAGGCGGUCUGAUAAGCCGGUUGUGAAAGCCCCGGGCUCAACCUGGGAACGGCAUCCGGAACUGUCAGGCUAGAGUGCAGGAGAGGAAGGUAGAAUUCCCGGUGUAGCGGUGAAAUGCGUAGAGAUCGGGAGGAAUACCAGUGGCGAAGGCGGCCUUCUGGACUGACACUGACGCUGAGGUGCGAAAGCGUGGGUAGCAAACAGGAUUAGAUACCCUGGUAGUC